CUUAACGGCCAUUUUAAAAACGGAGAGAAAGAAUCCCCAGGAAAGAAGGAAUUAAAUUAAAUAUUAAAAACGGAGUAAACCGUCUGUUGUGGAGUGGAACUGAGGUCUGCCAAUUUGGGUCAGAACCCACUUGUGAAUCUGAUGUGGUGUGUUCAGGUGUCCUGAGAAUGGGGGGCACUGUUUUUAAAAUGAGUUCCUCAGAGGAGACCGAGACUAACGAUGGAACCCAUGGCCUUGCGAGAAAGAGGGUCCAGGUAGAUAGGGCUGGGUCACCUGUACCCAGCUGUCUGUCUAUGAAGAGUGACCUUUCAAUGGAUCGUCCAAUCGGCUUCAGAGGAGAGUUCACAGGUGAUCAAAGGGUUCGGGUAGAGAGGGCAGGGUCACCUGUACCCAGCUGUCUGUCUAUGAAGAGUGACCGUUCAAUGCAUCCUCCAGUCAACUUCAGUGGAGAGUUCACAGGUGAUCAAAGGGUCCGGGUAGAGAGGGCAGGGUCACCUGUACCCAGCUGUCUGUCUAUGAAGAGUGAUCAUUCAAUGCUUUUUCCAGUCAACUUCAGAGGAGAGUUCACAGGUGAUCAAAGGGUCCGGGUAGAGAGGGCUGGGUCACCUGUACCCAGCUGUCUGUCUAUGAAGAGUGAUCAUUCAAUGCUUUUUCCAGUCAACUUCAGAGGAGAGUUCACAGGUGAUCAAAGGAUUCCCUGCUCACUGUAUUUAAGUCGUUUAGAUAAGAAGAGUUCAGAGAAACGUUCCCCCUUAAAACAGGUAUGAUAUAUACUUUUUCUAUUUCAAUAUUUGAAGUUGAUUUGACUUUCAGACGAUCAGAUUGAAUAUGUAAUCUGGUUAAUUAACAUUUAUAAAAUGUGCUCUGACCCUCUUUGGCUCACAGAAAGACUGGAUUCUUUUUUAGGAUCCAAAAACGAUGACAGUGGAAAUCUCCAAACAGAAUGUUUUAAAGUUCAAAGUUCAAAGGCUUUAUUUGUCACAUGCAUAUACAUGUACAUACAGUGAUAUGCUGGUGAGACAAACUAUUUGUAGACUGCAACACAACGCUUCAAUAAUAAGAAUAUACAGAAAAAUAAAAUAAAAAUAAUAACAUAAUAUAAUAUAACAUAUGAAUACAAAUUAAAAGAGAAGAACAUAAAGAGCAGUUAUUUUAAAAAAAGAGCAAUACAAAUAAGUUUAAAAAAAGUAAGUCCUAAAAUAAGUCACAGCAAGCAGUGCAACCUAUGAUAUAUAAUUAAAUUAGUACAAUAAAGAAAAAAGAACAAUACAAAGUAAACCGUGGGACGGUAAGGUGCUGCAGUGUACAUUGAGGUAAAGGUGCUAUGUGCUU